ACGAACGCUGGCGGCGUGCCUAAUACAUGCAAGUAGAACGCUGAAGAGAGGAGCUUGCUCUUCUUGGAUGAGUUGCGAACGGGUGAGUAACGCGUAGGUAACCUGCCUUGUAGCGGGGGAUAACUAUUGGAAACGAUAGCUAAUACCGCAUAACAAUGGAUGACACAUGUCAUUUAUUUGAAAGGGGCAAUUGCUCCACUACAAGAUGGACCUGCGUUGUAUUAGCUAGUAGGUGAGGUAAUGGCUCACCUAGGCGACGAUACAUAGCCGACCUGAGAGGGUGAUCGGCCACACUGGGACUGAGACACGGCCCAGACUCCUACGGGAGGCAGCAGUAGGGAAUCUUCGGCAAUGGGGGCAACCCUGACCGAGCAACGCCGCGUGAGUGAAGAAGGUUUUCGGAUCGUAAAGCUCUGUUGUAAGUCAAGAACGGGUGUGAGAGUGGAAAGUUCACACUGUGACGGUAGCUUACCAGAAAGGGACGGCUAACUACGUGCCAGCAGCCGCGGUAAUACGUAGGUCCCGAGCGUUGUCCGGAUUUAUUGGGCGUAAAGCGAGCGCAGGCGGUUUGAUAAGUCUGAAGUUAAAGGCUGUGGCUCAACCAUAGUUCGCUUUGGAAACUGUCAAACUUGAGUGCAGAAGGGGAGAGUGGAAUUCCAUGUGUAGCGGUGAAAUGCGUAGAUAUAUGGAGGAACACCGGUGGCGAAAGCGGCUCUCUGGUCUGUAACUGACGCUGAGGCUCGAAAGCGUGGGGAGCGAACAGGAUUAGAUACCCUGGUAGUCCACGCCGUAAACGAUGAGUGCUAGGUGUUGGAUCCUUUCCGGGAUUCAGUGCCGCAGCUAACGCAUUAAGCACUCCGCCUGGGGAGUACGACCGCAAGGUUGAAACUCAAAGGAAUUGACGGGGGCCCGCACAAGCGGUGGAGCAUGUGGUUUAAUUCGAAGCAACGCGAAGAACCUUACCAGGUCUUGACAUCCCGAUGCUAUUUCUAGAGAUAGAAAGUUACUUCGGUACAUCGGUGACAGGUGGUGCAUGGUUGUCGUCAGCUCGUGUCGUGAGAUGUUGGGUUAAGUCCCGCAACGAGCGCAACCCCUAUUGUUAGUUGCCAUCAUUCAGUUGGGCACUCUAGCGAGACUGCCGGUAAUAAACCGGAGGAAGGUGGGGAUGACGUCAAAUCAUCAUGCCCCUUAUGACCUGGGCUACACACGUGCUACAAUGGUUGGUACAACGAGUUGCGAGUCGGUGACGGCGAGCUAAUCUCUUAAAGCCAAUCUCAGUUCGGAUUGUAGGCUGCAACUCGCCUACAUGAAGUCGGAAUCGCUAGUAAUCGCGGAUCAGCACGCCGCGGUGAAUACGUUCCCGGGCCUUGUACACACCGCCCGUCACACCACGAGAGUUUGUAACACCCGAAGUCGGUGAGGUAACCUUUUGGAGCCAGCCGCCUAAGGUGGGACAGAUGAUUGGGG
rnacentral:rRNA from 1 species